UACGUAGGGGGCUAGCGUUGUCCGGAAUCAUUGGGCGUAAAGAGCGUGUAGGCGGCCCGGUAAGUCCGCUGUGAAAGUCGGGGGCUCAACCCUCGAAUGCCGGUGGAUACUGUCGGGCUAGAGUGCGGAAGAGGCGAGUGGAAUUCCCGGUGUAGCGGUGAAAUGCGCAGAUAUCAGGAGGAACACCGAUUGCGAAGGCAGCUCGCUGGGACGUAACUGACGCUGAGACGCGAAAGCGUGGGGAGCAAACAGG
rnacentral:rRNA from 1 species